rnacentral:rRNA from 1 species
CAUGCAAGUCGAACGGAAAGGCCCUUUCGGGGGUACUCGAGUGGCGAACGGGUGAGUAACACGUGGGUGAUCUGCCCUGCACUUUGGGAUAAGCCUGGGAAACUGGGUCUAAUACCGGAUAGGACUACGCGAUGCAUGUCGUGUGGUGGAAAGCUUUUGCGGUGUGGGAUGGGCCCGCGGCCUAUCAGCUUGUUGGUGGGGUGAUGGCCUACCAAGGCGACGACGGGUAGCCGGCCUGAGAGGGUGACCGGCCACACUGGGACUGAGAUACGGCCCAGACUCCUACGGGAGGCAGCAGUGGGGAAUAUUGCACAAUGGGCGCAAGCCUGAUGCAGCGACGCCGCGUGAGGGAUGACGGCCUUCGGGUUGUAAACCUCUUUCAGCUCCGACGAAGCGCAAGUGACGGUAGGGGUAGAAGAAGGACCGGCCAACUACGUGCCAGCAGCCGCGGUAAUACGUAGGGUCCGAGCGUUGUCCGGAAUUACUGGGCGUAAAGAGCUCGUAGGUGGUUUGGCGCGUUAAGGGUGAAAACUCACA